AGGAAGGUAAUUGGUUAAUUAUAAUAAACCAACUGCUUGGCCUCAUAGCUUAGAACAUAGGUGGGUGGAAUAAACAGAAUAGGAUGCUGGGCGGAAGAGGAAGUGAGAUCAGACUCUGCUCUGCUCCCGGACAGACCCGACAGCUCUGCUCUCUGGAGCAGAGACGCCAUGCUCAGCUCUCCCAGGCAACUCCAACCCAGAAUAGACAUAGGCUAGAAUCUUCCCGGUAAGCGCACCUUGGGGUGCUUACACACAUCAUUAGAAAUGGGCUAGUCCAGGUGCGAGAAUUAGCCUGUAAGGGCUAGAGUUCAUGGGCCAAGCAGUUCUUAAAUGAAUACAGUUUGUGUGUUGUUAUUUCGGGCAUGAGCUAGCCAAGCGGCCGGGGUGUUGGGGACGCAGCCCCGCCGCUCCUAUUUCAACAGAUGGCGCCCAGACGUGUGGACAACUGAAUCCACAGAAAGCCUGAAAAAGCUUGGGAAAGAGUAAAGCAUGUUUUCUUGGUAGCAGCAGUUUCUCGGGUCUCCUCUGCUUGUUAGAAGCAAGCAAGUACUCUCAUCUAAGAGAGGCUUCCUGACUCAGCUUCAGCUGCAAAACCCUGCAGCUCAUUAAGAGGUCCUGCCACAAAACACUUAAACGGUGUUGACGAAAAGCUGAACGCAUGCUUUUCGAUUUUCAGCUGUAGCAGGAAAAAAGCUGUGCCGUUUAAAAAUGCCGGCUUUCUGGGCUGUCCUGCCACGGCAAACUCUGACUCUUUUACGCAGGCGGUUCGUGUGGUUUGCAAGCACAGGCUGCUGAAGCUCGCUUGCUGGCAGGGACCUUGAAAUGCCAUAGAGUUGUGGCAGUAAACGUGGCUACAACCGGUACCUCAGCCAUGAGGCCGGAAAGCUAAGGAAUGGACUGGAUCUAGCUGGCAAAGCCACGGCUUUAAUCCUACUCAUAUUGCUCAGUAAUUUAAAGGCUCGUGUGGUCAGAAAAAGAGAGAUAUACAGUAAAGAGAUUCAAAGAUAAAGAAAAUGUUUAAAUGAUUUACAGUGUGUUAAAAAUAUAUGCAAGCUAAAAGUUAAAAGUUCUUAAAAAAAAAAAAGAAAAAGAGAAGUUGUGUGUGGUAGUACACGCCUUUAAUCCCAACACUUGGGAGGCAGAGGGAGAUUGACCUCUGUGACUUCAAGGUGUGGUAGCACACGCCUUUAAUCCCAGUGCCUAGAAGGCAGAGACAAACAGAUCUCUGUGAGUUCAAGGUGUGGUAGCAAACACCUUUAAUCCCAAUGCCUGGGAGGCAGAGACAGGCAGAUCUCUGAGAGUUCAAGGAGAGCCUGGUCUACAGAGUUAUUCCAGGUCAAAGAGAUACAGAGAAUAUAAAAGUAAAAAUAAACGAAAUAGAGGUUAAAAUAAAGCGUACAAAGAUGGAAAAUACACAGAGAAUCUUGAUACUGUAUACUAUUAUGCUCUCUUUGAAUUGUUUGAAUGCUGAGGAAGGAGCAACAGCUGCUAAAAGAUAUUUGUUUAUAAAUGCUGCUGAACUAAUCCAACGUAGAGAUUUUGAUGCCUUGACUUUGAAAUUUGGAUCUAAGGACAUGAUACUUUGGAAAGGAGUUUCUUUUUUUGUUUUCACAGAGGAUGAGACCCUGUUCAUUUCUUCUAUUCCGAUAUGGUAUGAUGGACCACGCCCUCCUGAACGGUUGCUGUGAAUACCUUCAGAAAAUUGCUUCGCUCAACUGCCAACUGAGAUGAAACUAGCACACAGGUUAUACCAUGAAAGACCUAAUUAACGACGCCCCCAUUCAGCAGGAAGCAGUUUGGAGAGAAAAAACUGCGCCCAUGUUCCCAAAUAUGGUUUAUAAAUGUUCUUUUACAUUUAAAGGGGGAGAUGAUAUAGGACUUUUCAUGACAAUGAGACACUCUGCUCCUGGCAGCACCAAUCUACUUCAAGAGGAAGAUGGGCAUCGAAGAGGAUCCUUAUGGAGUUUGAUAGCCAUUUGGGCAAGAAACUGCUCUUGCCUGGACUAUUGCAUAAACUGGACACAGAGAACCCGCAGAGAGAGGACUGCUGAACUUGCCUAAAGGUGAGAUGAUCUUUCGGGGUUCCUGAUUCAUGAAAGAGUCUGCAAGACAUUCUUCAGGACAAGCAGAUAGUGACUGCCUUUGAAAUUUCCUGCUUUGUGGAAAUGUCUGCUGGAAACUAUGGGCCUGUAGGCCGAAGAUGGAUGCCCCAACGGUACAGAGGAACUUUGGGUGACUGUCCAGGCAGCGAGAUGUCUCUGUCAUUUCUAGAGCUUUGGAUGUUAAGUUAAAGCCUUCUUUUUUUUUUUUUUUUUUUUUUUU